GGGAGAUGGGGCUAUGGAGCUGAGCAAGGCUGAGUCAAAGCAGAGGAAGAGGCAGCAUCAGCUGAAGUCAAGGAGAGGUUGAAAGAAUGAAAGAUAAGCCCCAACCAAGAGUCUCUGGGCACUCAGCUGUCUUACAACUUGAAAUUUGUGGAAAUGCAAGAUACAAAACUGAUAACUGAUGUGGCUCUUUAUUAUCCAGUCAGCUGAUUAUAAGGGACAGAAUUCAUAUGGAGGAUAUGAAUAAGGAUAUAUUCUUGCCAGCAGCGGACAUGACCAGUAAAGAGUCACUUGCCAAGAUGCAACUUUUUGGGUAUCUGAUUACCAGCUCCCGAAGUGAAGUCCUUAACUCUCCUAUGCCAUGUGCUGUGUAGUGGUAAAUGAAGAUCCCUCCCCUGAAGUGGAAAACCAAGCAAUUGUUCACAGGAACUAGUUCAGAAUUAUACAAGAGGAACCCAUCCAAAAUUGCUUUUCCAACAUCAGUCUGGAGCUCCAGUGCUGAACUCAAGGUGAUAGAAAUGCACCACCAUUCUCAGCCUAAAUCUGUCUGUCUUCUCUGACACCCAUUUGAUCAACAAACGGGACUAACAAUUCUCUUUCCUUGAAAUUUGGAAUUAACAAGAGACAUUUGUGUAAAGGAGAAAGUCCCAGGAUCAGAAGUCCAACUAAUGGCAUCUCUGGACUGAAGGUCCCAAGCACAGAGCUACAGGCUGGACGGAGCUGCACCACCAUGAAGAUCCCUGUGACUGCCACGCCCUGCAGUUCUUCCCACUGGCUCCAUGACACACCUACCUGCGUGAGAAGAGCAGCAGAACAU